CACAGAUAAAGAUGAAAAUAAUGAAAACAAUGACACAAUCGACAUUUCCAUUCCUCUUGAUCAGAAAGAUGAUGUGACUUAUUCACAGGUGAUCACUUCCAGUAAAACACAAGCUAUAAAAAACAAUGUUCCUUCUGCUGAUAAUGUGACUUAUGCUGCCAUAAGAUGAGAAAAAGUUGAAGUCCAAGACAACAGCAGCGUGCUUCAUGCUUCUCUUAACAAAACCCCUCACAAAUAAAUAAAAAGAUAUCAAACUUAAAAAGUUGGGUUUUAGUCAAUGGCAUUGUAAAUAUAAAAAUGUAAGUUGUUUAAACAUACAAAUUUGAGUGGUGAUUUUGUUGUGGUUUAACAGGGCUUGUUUAGUGGUAGCUUGUUGUCUGCUUGCUGAUUAUUUGAAGUGUCUAUAUAGAUAUUUACACCGAUCUGACAAAUGGCAGCCAACGCCGUCUUUAUAACCUGACUUUUGGAUUUAGAAUGAAUGAGUUUGCAGGUGUUUGACAGAUCAGUAAGAGUUAAACGCAUAAGGAAAAAUGAGAAAUGAUAGUCAUAGUUAGACUACAAGAAUGAGAUUAUUGACAUUUCUGUCAGAUCAGACGAUUGGCCUGCAUGCUUACAUAAGACUCUUAGGGGCGGUUUCCCGGACAGGGAUUAGACUAGUCCUAGACUUAAACACUUUUAAGAGCUCUCCAAACUGAAAACAACUUUCACUUACAGAUCUUAAAAUACAUCAGUGCCCUUUGUUUUACUUCAAGAUGCACACAGGUAAUGUUUUUAGUAAGGCAUGUUGUUUAAAACUAGUUAUAUUUCCUAAUUAAACUAAGGCCUAGUCCUGGAUUAAGCUAAUCCUGGUCCGGGAAACCGCCC